UUUACUUAAUUCUGGUAAGUAUUUCCUGUUUUAAAACAACAAUAGCAUCCAACAUGGUGCAGUGGCUUCAUGAGCUUGUGGAAGCAAACGGAGAAAUAAUUCGAUCUGCCUCUUAUCAACUUUGUCCAUUGGGUAUUGUUUUUAAAAUUGGCUGUUACCACACAAAUUCAGCAAGAAGAUCCAG